UAACUUUGGUGUCUCCUCAUUUGCGGAUAAAUCUUUCGCCUUUUACUAAAGAUUUCCGUGGGGAGGCACAAUACAAUGAGUCUUGCCUCAUUUUUGUCAGCUCUGUCUUCGGACGGAGUA
rfam:Trichobilharzia regenti genome assembly, scaffold: TRE_scaffold0010434